UGGGGAAUAUUGGGCAAUGGGCGAAAGCCUGACCCAGCAACGCCGCGUGAGGGAAGAAGGGUUUCGGCUCGUAAACCUCUGUCCUAUGGGACGAAGGAAGUGACGGUACCAUAGGAGGAAGCCCCGGCUAACUACGUGCCAGCAGCCGCGGUAAUACGUAGGGGGCGAGCGUUAUCCGGAUUUAUUGGGUUUAAAGGGUGCGUAGGCUGUAAGUCAAGUCAGCGGUGAAAAGUCGGGGCUAAACCUUGAGGGUGCCGUUGAAACUGAUUUACUAGAAUGUGGAUGAUGCCGGCGGAAUGUGUCAAGUAGCGGUGAAAUGCAUAGAUAUGACACAGAAGGCCGAUUGCGAAGGCAGCUGGCAAAGGCACGAUUGACGCUGAGGCACGAAAGUGCGGGGAUCGAACAGGAUUAGAUACCCUGGUAGU
rnacentral:rRNA from 1 species